rnacentral:lncRNA from 1 species
UAAAUUAUUACUGACCCUAGCAGUUGCGAGGUUCCAUCUUAGGUUGGACUCAACUGGACUCACUUUUGUGUGUGGUAAUUUCCAUUCCGAGACAUACCCUUCAAUCCCAUCUCACUUGAUUACUCUUCCAAACCCCUCUCUGGUUUUCUUCUUCUUCAGCUUGACUACUCGUUACUUUACCAUCUCUUCGUGUCCCUACCUCACUUCUCCAAUCUAUCAAUCCUAGCAAACCACCUCUCCCAGACCCGUCAUCCUUCUCGCAGCGUCUCUUUCAUUUGGUACUUGCAUUCAGGUCAGAACUCUCUCUUUCUCCAUUCUAAUUUGCCUCUUCUUUCUUCAUUUGGUGCUUGCUUUCCUGAUGAGAUUUAAAUCUAACAUCGACUUGUCUUGGUUUUAACAUUAGCCUCUCAUAUGAACUUGUCUUCUCCGGUCUUUUAAAUUGUACAUGCUGCUGCGGCCGUGGUUACCUUAUUUAUCGCAAUUGCAGGAUGACGUGGCAAGAUCGCGAUUUCAUUGCGGAGACUCUCCGAAUCAUCAAUAUUAUGGCUGCAAUUGCGGUUUCUCGUACGGUGUAUAAAGAAUUAAAUUAAUCCAACCUGCUUCAACCAUUUUCAAUUUCAUUGCUUUGGUAAAACAUUUUAGAAGAAUCAAACUCAACAUCAAAAUUGAACUCAAUUAACUCGGGUUCGGUAUUUAGUUUGACUUACUCUUGGAUUUGAAUCCUCUAUAGUGAGGUUGUAUCUAAAGUAAGCAAGAGAAAGUAAGGUCAAUCCAG